rnacentral:rRNA from 1 species
UACGGAGGGUGCAAGCAUUGAUCGGAAUUACUGGGCGUAAAGGGCGCGUAGGCGGCACGAAUAAGUCGGAUCGUGAAAUUCCGGGGCUCAACCCCGGAGCUGCAUUUGAAACUGUCGGAGCUAGAGUACAGUUAGGGUAAACGGAAUUCCACGUGUAGCGGUGAAAUGCGUAGAUAUGUGGAAGAACACCGGUGGUGAAAACGGUUUACUGGGCUGAAACUGACGCUGAGGCGCGAAAGCAUGGGGAGCAAACAGG